GUAGGGUCCAAGCGUUAAUCGGAAUUACUGGGCGUAAAGCGUGCGCAGGCGGUUGUGUAAGCCAGAUGUGAAAUCCCCGGGCUUAACCUGGGAAUGGCAUUUGGGACUGCACGGCUAGAAUACGGCAGAGGAGACUAGAAUUCCUGGUGUAGCAGUGAAAUGCGUAGAUAUCAGGAGGAAUACCGAUGGCGAAGGCAGGUCUCUGGGUCGAUAUUGACGCUCAUGCACGAAAGCGUGGGGAGCAAACAGGAUUAGAUACCCUGGUAGUCCACGCCCUAAACGAUGUCAACUGGUUGUUGGGGAAUUGAUUUCCUUAGUAACGAAGCUAACGCGUGAAGUUGACCGCCUGGGGAGUACGGUCGCAAGAUUAAA
rnacentral:rRNA from 1 species